rfam:Bat coronavirus HKT8, complete genome
GACUUAAAGAUAUAAUCCAUCUAGCGACGGGUUAUACUCUUUUUAGACUGUUGUCUAAUCCCCUCAACUAAACGAAAUUUUUGCCAUACUUGUAUGGCGGAUUGAAAUUUCCCUAGGUUACCACCAUCCCGGCCCCAGUGUCGUGUCAUUCAGUGGUCCCUCGCACUGUUCCGUCAGUGCUUAAACCACUGUCUGACCUGCACGUAGUUCUGUCUGCGUGCAGUGUGGAUAGUACGUUCCGUCGUGCUUGAAACCGAUAACAGGUCGCUAUGGGUUCUAACCAUUUGACCCUGGCUUUUGCCAGUGAUUCUGAAAUUUCU